CUAGUUGAUUUUGUUUUUCCAUUCCAUUUUCAAGGAAGGGAAGAACAAGGGAAGAAGGGAGGAGGGAAGGAAGGAAAUAAGUAUUUAUUAAACACCUAAUAUCUGUCAGGCGCUGUGCUGAUUAUCUCAUCCGAUCCUCACAACCACCCUGGGAGGUGUAGCCUGUCCACACAUAUGGGACCUUUUGGUUCUUUCUCAAGUUUUCCCAAGGGCCAUCACGGCUUCCACUUGAACCCUGACUGGAAGACCAGAAGCAGAUGGUGAGAAGACCGGCAGGAACUUCUGGAUGCGUUUGAUGCUGGCUGCUUGGCCUGAGUUGCCAAGGGCCUUCAGGGCUGUGACCAUUGCUUCUUCCUGGCCAUUUUUAAUUGCCUCAUUUGCAUAGUUAUGGAGUACCUGCCAAGCAAGUAAACUUGGUCAUUGCUGUUUCAUCUCAUAUAGGACCUCGUAUGUGAAGUCAGGGGUCCUUACCCACUGACAACAUCCACCAUCAUUUCCCCAACAAUUCAAGAGUAAUCCGUCAACUGCUCAUUCAACAAGGAUUAAUUAAUCUCUUACAAUUUGUCAGGCACUGGACUAAACUCUGAGGACACGUGUGCACACACACACACACACACACACACACACACACACACACACACACAAGCAAUAAC